GGGUGAGUAGUGUAUAGGUAAUAUGCCUCUUACUAAGGGAUAACAAUUGGAAACGAUUGCUAAUACCUUAUACUCCUUAUUAACCUAAGUUAAUAAGGGAAAGAUUUAUUGGUAAGAGAUUAGCCUGUAUUGUAUCAGUUAGUUGGUGGGGUAAUGGCCUACCAAGACUAUGACACAUAACUGGUUUGAGAGGAUGAUCAGUCACACUGGAACUGAGACACGGUCCAGACUCCUACGGGAGGCAGCAGUGGGGAAUAUUGCACAAUGGACGAAAGUCUGAUGCAGCAACGCCGCGUGGAGGAUGACACAUUUCGGUGCGUAAACUCCUUUUAUAUGAGAAGAUAAUGACGGUAUUAUAUGAAUAAGCACCGGCUAACUCCGUGCCAGCAGCCGCGGUAAUACGGGGGGUGCAAGCGUUACUCGGAAUCACUGGGCGUAAAGAGCAUGUAGGCGGAUUGAUAAGUUUGAAGUGAAAUCCUAUAGCUUAACUAUAGAACUGCUUUGAAAACUGUUAAUCUAGAAUGUGGGAGAGGUAGAUGGAAUUUCUGGUGUAGGGGUAAAAUCCGUAGAGAUCAGAAGGAAUACCGAUUGCGAAGGCGAUCUACUGGAACAUUAUUGACGCUGAGAUGCGAAAGCGUGGGGAGCAAACAGGAUUAGAUACCCUGGUAGUCCACGCCCUAAACGAUGUACACUAGUUGUUGUGAGACUUGAUCUUGCAGUAAUGCAGUUAACACAUUAAGUGUACCGCCUGGGGAGUACGGUCGCAAGAUUAAAACUCAAAGGAAUAGACGGGGACCCGCACAAGCGGUGGAGCAUGUGGUUUAAUUCGACGAUACACGAAGAAYCUUACCUGGACUUGACAUAGUAAGAACUUUCUAGAGAUAGAUUGGUGUCUGCUUGCAGAAACUUAUAUACAGGUGCUGCA
rnacentral:rRNA from 1 species